rnacentral:rRNA from 1 species
GAUGAACGCUGGCGGUAUGCCUAACACAUGCAAGUCGAACGGAAUCUUCGGAUUUAGUGGCGGACGGGUGAGUAACGCGUGAGAAUCUGCCUUCAGGAUGGGGACAACAGUUAGAAAUGACUGCUAAUACCCAAUAUGCCGCAAGGUGAAAGAUUUAUUGCCUGAAGAGGAGCUCGCGUCCGAUUAGCUAGUUGGGGUGGUAAAAGCGCACCAAGGCAACGAUCGGUAGCUGGUCUGAGAGGAUGAGCAGCCACACUGGGACUGAGACACGGCCCAGACUCCUACGGGAGGCAGCAGUGGGGAAUUUUCCGCAAUGGGCGAAAGCCUGACGGAGCAAUACCGCGUGAGGGAGGAAGGCUUUGGGUUGUAAACCUCUUUUCUCAAGGAAGAAGAACUGACGGUACUUGAGGAAUCAGCAUCGGCUAACUCCGUGCCAGCCGCC